rnacentral:rRNA from 1 species
GUAGGGAAUAUUGCGCAAUGGACGAAAGUCUGACGCAGCGACGCCGCGUGAGUGAUGAAGGCCUUAGGGUCGUAAAGCUCUGUUGAAUGGGAAGAAAAAAAUGACGGUACCAUUCGAGGAAGGACCGGCUAACUUCGUGCCAGCAGCCGCGGUAAUACGAGGGGUCCUAGCGUUGUUCGGAAUCAUUGGGCGUAAAGGGUGUGUAGGUGGUCAUGUAAGUCAGGGGUGAAAGCCCCGGGCUCAACCCGGGAAGUGCAAUUGAUACUGCGUGGCUUGAGUACCGAAGAGGGUAGUGGAAUUCCAGGUGUAGUGGUGAAAUACGUAGAUAUCUGGAGGAACACCGGUGGCGAAGGCGGCUACCUGGUCGAGUACUGACACUGAGACACGAAAGCAUGGGGAUCAAACAGGAUUAGAUACCCGAGUAGUCC